AUUGAACGCUGGCGGCAGGCCUAACACAUGCAAGUCGAACGGUAACAGGAAGAAGCUUGCUUCUUUGCUGACGAGUGGCGGACGGGUGAGUAAUGUCUGGGAAACUGCCUGAUGGAGAGGGAUAACUACUGGAAACGGUAGCUAAUACCGCAUAACGUCGCAAGACCAAAGAGGGGGACCUUCGGGCCUCUUGCCAUCGGAUGUGCCCAGAUGGGAUUAGCUAGUAGGUGGGGUAACGGCUCACCUAGGCGACGAUCCCUAGCUGGUCUGAGAGGAUGACCAGCCACACUGGAACUGAGACACGGUCCAGACUCCUACGGGAGGCAGCAGUGGGGAAUAUUGCACAAUGGGCGCAAGCCUGAUGCAGCCAUGCCGCGUGUAUGAAGAAGGCCUUCGGGUUGUAAAGUACUUUCAGCGGGGAGGAAGGGAGUAAAGUUUAUACCUUGGCUCAUUGACGUUACCCGCAGAAGAAGCACCGGCUAACUCCGUG
rnacentral:rRNA from 1 species